rnacentral:rRNA from 1 species
CAGCUCUCCGAGUGGUGUGGAUGUUUAUUGGGCCUAAAGCAUCCGUAGCUGGCUAAGUCAGUCCCUUGUUAAAUCCACCGAAUUAAUCGUUGGAUUGCGGGGGAUACUGCUUGGCUAGGGGACGAGAGAGGCAGACGGUAUUUUCGGGGUAGGGGUGAAAUCCUAUAAUCCCGGGAAGACCACCAGUGGCGAAGGCUGUCUGCUAGAACGCGCCCGACGGUGAGGGAUGAAAGCUGGGGGAGCGAACCGGAUUAGAUACCCGAGUAGUCC